GCCUUCGUACGUAGCAAAGUAUCCAACUUUACCAUCCGCCAUCGUCCUGCGUCCACGCGAAAAAACCUCCCCCACGAUUCGUCAGUUCCAUCCCCCACAGGACCACAACUGGCGAACGCUCAACCUCCUCCAUUGCCCUUCGCCCGACUCCACCAUCCACUGUCAUGCUUCACCAACACAGCUUCAUCGCCGUCCUCCAUCCUCACGGCGCCGCCUCCACUGGCAUCCUCCCGACGGAUGCUGCUGCCGCCAAAAACUGAUGCCUCCUCUAAGGUCGUUGCCUACUCCAAGGCUACUAAACGAGUAAUCCUCCAAUCCCAUCUGGUGAUCUCGCAGUCCAUCUGCCCGUCGAUCUGGGCCCCGCGUGCGCCCUAGGAGGCCUCCCAGCCGGGUGCGUAGAUGCUCUCACUGCAAGCAAGGCGGAGCCGACCCAUGCCACCACGUGCCAUAGCCGGUGGUUCUCAGCCGAUGGUAGCGGAAAGAGGAGCAAUGAGGUAAGAGGUUUGAUUUUUCGUUUGGAGUUGUCGCAAGCUUGCGCUAGCUUCGGACUUGAUCCAAUAGGUUUCGUCGCUUUGCUUUAUGCAUCUGGGUGAACUAAUUUCUCCCUCUUAGAUUUUGUUUUCGUUGCCUCUCUUUAUUGAUUUCUUUUCUCAAAUCGGGUCUCUGUGUAUUCCUCUGUAGGUGGUUCGAUUUGUCAGAUUUGGGGGGGGGGGGGGGUCCGUUAUUUCUCUGUUCUAGAUAUCCAAUCGUUUUAUUUUCACGGCAUCGGGUAUCAUGCUGAUUGCCAAAUGCCAACAGGAGCGAGGACAAAGAGUUUGAACGAGUUCUUUUUCAAAUCCCCUGUGAGAAGAUUCUUGUGAGGAAGUCAGUACACCUGGAUAGGCUCCAGUUUGAAUCCACUUCUCUUAGUAAUUUGACAAGAACUGCAGGUCUUAAACUAACCAGCGUAGCAUAUGUGCCUCCAAAGUUUUUAUUUAUUACUCAGUUUUUCCCUUAUGUGUGACCACCCUGAGGGAGGCGUAUAUGAGGGGAAAGAAGGUGUCAGUGCUGGCCGACCUUAACGUGCCACUUGAUGGUGACUAGAAGAUCACCGACUACACGCAUUGGUGCCCAUCAUCAAGUUCCUCCCCGAGAAGGGCGCCAUCUGGCAGAACAGGCUUCCAUAAUGGGAGCGAUUCUACCUGCUUCUGAGCAGUGAAUAAAGUCAAUACAGGUGGCGAUUCAACAUGCAUAUUAUGUUACUUUCCCCCCCGAAUUCUGCAAGUAUUUAAUGUUGUGUACAUGCCAUGUCAUGCUUUUGGGAUAGCAAUGAAGUUUGAUAACUUGUUCCAUGUAAAGUUUCUCAAGCAGAUAUCAAAUUGCAAAGGUCUAGGAAGUACGACACAAGAAGUUUUCACAUCUCUACAACUUAUCUUAUUCAUUCAAAGAGCUGAUCAUCGUAGCCUAUGGUUUUAUGUAGACGGUCAUCUCCUUUGUUCAGGACCUACGAGAAACUUAUUUUUGUAUCAUAGAUUUGCUAAUUUUGUCUAGAUUUGUACAAGUUGUUUACAGUUUUCUUCUCAAAAUAUACCUCUAUUUUAGUAUGGGAGGCUUAUUCAUUCUUUUUUGUAAUUGCUUAAGCUUUAUCAUUCUUGAGGCAAUCGGUGCUGCAAGAGCUAUUGAUAACCUUGCUUUCUCAUCCAUGGAGCUCUUAGAUUUGUAAAAAAAACUGGUAUAAAUCUGUAGUGUUGGCAAUUGGUUGUAAGGAAUUUUAAGGGUUUUUGCAUGCUGUUUCUUAUGUGGUCGGGAAUGCUUGAGGCAUACUACUGGUACUGGUUUUAUGAUGUGUAAAAGAAUUGUUGAUUUAUACCUGGAUAUGGACAUGUGAUUUAUGCAAA